GGUCCAUCCCAACCUUGACCCAGAAUGUGGCUGUAUGCAUGCCAACAAACCUCAGCCUCAGUUUCCCUCCUUCUCUGACAUCAGGUUGUAGAGCAUCCAGUGCUGAACAGUGGAAAGCCCACUUCAGACCUGCUGUUCAAAGCCUCAGCACCUCCCCUGGGAUUCACCUUCUACUUGAUAACACCUGUCCCUGCGAAGAAGCCCCAGGCUGGACCCACCAGGUGCAGGCUACAGACGUCACAGCGUUCUGCCCUGGUCAUUGAAAAUGAGCACAUGCGGGUGGUAUUUGACAAACACACGGGGAUCUUAAAGGAGAUUGAGAACCGAGACCAGAAGCUUCUGUUACGGGUCCAGCAGACGUUCUUCUGGUACAAUGCCAGCAGGAACUCGGGAGCCUAUGUCUUUGCACCUGAACAGUUGAAUCCACUGCCCAUGAGUUUCUCACCUGACAUACAACUGGUGAAGGUUUGGAGGGGCAAUGAUGUGGGUGUCAGAAAGGAGUGUGCUAGAAGGGAUACUACCUGUGUGGGUGGGAAGGUUUGCUGGUUUAAGUUAUGUGGUGGUUCUUUGAAGGGUCAUCCUUGAUCUGUGGAAACUUAGCUACGGGGACAAGUAUCAGUGGCUUUCUCAUUUUGUGUAAGUGUAAAGAUUGUACCUUGCACUAGAAAUCAGAGAAUUCACAUUCAUAACCACAACUGCCUAUCUUAAUGAAACUAAAACUCAACCCACUGCCAUGAAGUCCAUUCUGCCUCACAGGGUGACCCGAUCGAGGGAUUGUAGACUGUACAUCUUCAGCGACACAGACAGCCUCAUCUUUCUCCUGUGAAUCAGCUGACUCUCCCAUCUGUGGGUCAUCCAUUAGCGUGUCCAGAAGAGUAUUAUGGUCUCAAGAUUGAGGAAAAUUAGACCUAUCCUAUCGGUUGGCUUUCAUCCCUUCUUCCCGUCCUUUUCUUAAUCUGGUUUCAAAG